GACGAACGCUGGCGGCGUGCUUAACACAUGCAAGUCGAACGGAAAGGCCCUGCUUGCAGGGUCCUCGAGUGGCGAACGGGCGAGUAACACGUGGGUGAUCUGCCCUCCACUUCGUGAUAAGUCUGGGUAACUGGGUCCAAUACCUGCCAGGAGCCAUUCUUAGUGUGAUGGUUGGAACGUUUUUUCGGUUUAGGAUGAGCUUGCGGCCUAUCAGCUUGUUGGUGGGGUAAUGGCCUACCAAGGCGGCGACGGGUAGCCGGCCUGAGAGGGUGGACGGCCACAUUGGGACUGGGAUACGGCCCCGACUCCGACGGGGGGCAGCAGUGGGGGAAAUUGCACCAAGGGCGCAAGCCUGGUGCAGCGACGCCGGGUGGGGGAUGAAGGCCUUCGGGUUGUAAACUCCCUUCGAGAGGGGCGAAGGUGUUUGUGACGGUACCUAGAUAAGAAGCACCGGCUAACUACGUG
rnacentral:rRNA from 1 species